ensembl:lncRNA novel transcript
GCCGGGGAGGGUUCUCCCCUCGACAACCCCAGUGCACAGCAGAUCAUGCAGCUGUUUGGUGAGAUGCAGAACCCUCAGGAGCGCCCAGGCUUGGGCAGCAUCCCCUGCAUUCUGUUUUCCCACCAGGCUGACAAAAACCACCAGGCACCCAGCCACGUGGUGACAGCCACCUUCCCCUACACCACCAUGCUGUCCAUCUGGGUGGCUGCCUGCCAUAUCCAUUCUGCCUUGGACACCUACAUCAAGGUGAUGCACAGGCCUGGAGUUUGUGUGUUGGGGACAGCCAGGUCCCUUGGGUGGAGCUGAGUAGGAUUGCCCAGAGUGGGAGGAAGAGGAACUGACAUGAUGAGUGACACGAGUUCUGGAAGCUUGGAGACUGUCACUGGAGCUUCCAGGACCCAGAAUAAAGCCAAUGACUUACUUGUUUCA